rnacentral:misc_RNA from 1 species
UGUUCCCUGCAGUGCUGUCUGGAUCAUAGAUUCCUUGAACCAUAAAUUUGGGCCCUGGUUUCGGUCUGUUAAGUAACAGUGUGCGCGCUCCGAUGUGGGUGUACCUAACGUAGCUUAAGGUCGUUACCACUUGAACCGUCAGGUUCAGGAUGCCGGUCUGGAUAGCAUCUGCAGGGACUUC